rnacentral:miRNA from 1 species
UACUGGCCUUUAUAGUCCCACU